UGAAGGAGAAGUUUAUUAAUUUGCCAGCAAAUGAGGAGGGUGGUGGACUAGCAUCUCAAAGACUGCCAUACUGUCUUUAAGCAAAAAAACAGCGCUUUUUUAAGCCAAGGCACGGUCCCCCUUGACCCCACAAAUAACAAAAGGUCCCGCGGGCCGGGACAAGUGGCGCCCAACGUGGGGCACAAGGUACGGACUUUUGUCGGAUGCACGCGGUUUACAGACAGUUCUCCGGAGAAUCCCUGAAGAGACCUCCUUUCUGCCGCUCACAGAAUCGACGGUCUGAAAUACAAUGACUCCCCAAAAAAAGACACUGCCCCUCCUGUGCCUGGUUCUGGUCGUGAUCAAGAGCACCAUCACAACCAACAUCCAUCAGAUCUACAACUAUACAUGGCAGGUAAUUAAUGAGGCAGGAGACGUUGUUAAUUCCUCCUCACGUCUCUCCGCCGUUAUACCAUGGGAUCCAUUAAAAGUCGACCUAUGCGUAUUAGCUCUUGGGGCU